rnacentral:lncRNA from 1 species
CUGCUUCCCCUCCCCACUUAGUUCUAGUCCCGGUCAGGGCGCUGGAUUCUGUCCCGCGGCUGCGGCGGUUGUUGGAGAGUGAACCACCCGCAAAGGAAGACCUUUCUCUCUGUCUCUCUCUCUCACUGUCCACUCUGCCUGUCAUAAAAAAAAAAAAAAGAAAAAAAACAAAAAAAAAGGGCAGCGACUGAGGGGGUACAAGGAGAAUUUCAACCUUGACUUUUCAUUUUAGGAAGCAAUCAAUGGAGCUCAUCUCUUUGACAGCAACAAAACCAGCGAGAGAGCUGACGUGGCACCUUUGCAAGGCUGGAAAAUGAGGGCUGUGGUGCCAGCAAGACACGGGACCCCACUGGGGCUGUGCCACUCGUUAGCUGUCGGACCCCACGCAGGUGACAGAGCGUCUCAAUGUCUCUGCUCUUCCUGUUUCCAGGAGCCUGCAAGAGGACUGUGCGAGUGCGGGACUGAGAGCAGUGCCUGGCUGGAGACGGAAUCCACAGAACGCCGCGACCAGCUGGAUGGUGUGAGAGGGUUCGGCCUGAAGUCCUUGUCUGCGAUGGUCCCACUGUCCAUUCAUUCACCCGAACCAGAAGACUGGGACACACCCUCAGCUUCCCGCUCUGCCCCAAUGUCACACCCGAAUCCAUCAACCUGUCUUCCUCUCCUAACAUCCUGGUCUCGUCCUCAUCUUCACCGUGCCCUCCUUACGCAGUGAGUCACCAUCCCCUUCACCAGUCCAGCUGCCGGAUGGGGGCCAGAGGAGGCCUGGUGUACUGCAGACUGAGGAGGAGGAAGAACAAAAUGCUAAGGUAGAAGCUUGCUCUGAGGUUGGAAUGGCUUCCAAAUCAUUCCAGGUGUGUUUCAAGGCUUAAAGAGAAAUUGCUGGCAGAGUUUCAGCCCCCAAGUACAGCAAAGAACAUCUUCUUGAGGUACGUUACAACAAAGUUCAAUUCCUUUGCCUCGGAGGCAACAAUCUAAGAAGUUGGAAGAAGAGGAGGAGGAAGAGGAGAGGAAGAGGGGGAGGGGGAGGAGCAGGAGGGAAACAAAAGUCCAUUCCUUUCACUAGAAGAUAGGGAGGGCGACCAAGAGACCACCUAGGAGACAACUGCAGGAACUGUGAGGCCCUGAAUCAAGGCAGUGGCCCCUAGCUCUGGUCAAGGGAAUUGGUUUGUUGGAUGAGAAAAACUAAAGGGCGUCUUAGGAAACAGAUGAUGACACAUCUGUAGUCUGUUGAGCUCUGGCUGGUGGCAUCAACUCUUCCCAGUUUCCCAUCAGCACCUAGACGUCUGGUCUUAUCUCCGGCAGCCCAUCUCCCACUUUGUACUCAGAGUGAUGGCCUUAAAGGCAAAACUGCUGAGGUCUAGCCUGGGCCUUCUCAGUGCUCCUAGUAUAGUGAGACGUCCUCUGUGUGACCUGUGGCCCCGUGCAUACACUGCUCUGCACUUCCUUCGUCUGUUUGCCGUCUGUCUCUUCUGACAGACAUUGAGCUCAAAGAGGGCAGCGAAUACAUCUCUCUCAUUCUUGACUUAAUUCGUAAUGCUUGGCACACAGUUAGCUCCAAGGAGAGAGUAGAAGGAUGAAUAACAUUCGGGCUGGCCCUGUGGCUCAGCGGGUUAAAGCCCCGGCCUGCAAUACUGGCAUCCCAUAUGGCCACCAGUUCAAGUCCUGGCUGUUCCACUUCUGAUCUAGCUCCCUGCUAACAUGCCUGGGAAAGCAGCAGAGGAUGGCCCAAGUGCUUGGGCCCCUGUACCCAAAUAAGAGACCUGGAUGGAAGAAGUUCCUGGCUUCAGAUCGGCUCAGCUCCUGCCAUUGUGGCCAUUUGGGGAGUAAACCAGCAGAUGGAAGUCCCCCAUCCCCACGCUGCCCCCCAUCUGUAAGUCUCUACCUUUCAAAUAAGUAAAAAUAAAUCUUUUUAAGAAGGGAUCA